rnacentral:rRNA from 1 species
CAGGCCCGCAAGGGUGCUGACGAGUGGCGGACGGGUGAGGAAUACAUCGGAAUCUGCCCGGUUGUGGGGGAUAACGUAGGGAAACUUACGCUAAUACCGCAUACGACCGAAAGGUGAAAGCGUGGGAUCCGCAAGGACCUCGCGCAGCCGGAUGAGCCGAUGUCGGAUUAGCUAGUUGGCGGGGUAAAGGCCCACCAAGGCGACGAUCCGUAGCUGGUCUGAGAGGAUGAUCAGCCACACUGGGACUGAGACACGGCCCAGACUCCUACGGGAGGCAGCAGUGGGGAAUAUUGGACAAUGGGGGCAACCCUGAUCCAGCAAUGCCGCGUGUGUGAAGAAGGCCUUCGGG